AUUGAACGCUGGCGGCAGGACUAACACAUGCAAGUCGAGCGGAUGAGUGGAGCUUGCUCCAUGAUUCAGCGGCGGACGGGUGAGUAAUGCCUAGGAAUCUGCCUGGUAGUGGGGGACAACGUUUCGAAAGGAACGCUAAUACCGCAUACGUCCUACGGGAGAAAGUGGGGGAUCUUCGGACCUCACGCUAUCAGAUGAGCCUAGGUCGGAUUAGCUAGUUGGUGAGGUAAAGGCUCACCAAGGCGACGAUCCGUAACUGGUCUGAGAGGAUGAUCAGUCACACUGGAACUGAGACACGGUCCAGACUCCUACGGGAGGCAGCAGUGGGGAAUAUUGGACAAUGGGCGAAAGCAUGAUCCAGCCAUGCCGCGUGUGUGAAGAAGGUCUUCGGAUUGUAAAGCACUUUAAGUUGGGAGGAAGGGCAGUAAGUUAACACCUUGCUGUUUUGACGUUACCAACAGAAUAAGCACCGGCUAACUUCGUG
rnacentral:rRNA from 1 species